UUAAAAAGCUCGUAGUUGGAUCAAGAGUUGGACAGUGCACGGCGGCCCCGUUGGCCUCGUUUGGUUCCGGUCAAGCUAGCCACGGCGGAAUCACCCCGUGCGCCAAACUGUCCACUCUAACAGGCCGAAACGGUUCCCUGUGAGUGGGCUCCUUCAUUGGGGUCGAAAGCGCCUACGCAUCAACCAUAUGCAUACGGGACGUCGGCCAAAGUUACCGUGAACAAACCAGCGUGUCCAAAGCAGGCUUUCGCCUGAAUGUUCGAGCAUGGAAUAACAAGUGAACGAUUCUCUCGGUUCUUAUUGUUGGUUUUUAACCCGAGAAGGAGUAAUUCAGGCCACGGUGUCUGAGUUGGGUUACCCGAGCCCUUGGGUGAGGCCCCAAUUAUGCCGUGUCCUUACAGGAUCAAUAGGGACUGACGGGGUCCUACGUACUUCCGCGUCAGAAGUGAAAU
rnacentral:rRNA from 1 species